rnacentral:rRNA from 1 species
UACGUAGGGUGCGAGCGUUGUCCGGAAUUAUUGGGCGUAAAGGGCUCGUAGGCGGUUUGUCGCGUCGGGAGUGAAAACCCAGGGCUUAACCCUGGGCUGGCUUUCGAUACGGGCAGACUAGAGGUAUGCAGGGGAGAACGGAAUUCCUGGUGUAGCGGUGAAAUGCGUAGAUAUCUGGAGGAACACCGGUGGCGAAGGCGACAUCCUGGACCGGCAUUGACGCUGAGGCGCGAAAGCCAGGGGAGCAAACGGG